rnacentral:rRNA from 1 species
UACAGAGGGUGCGAGCGUUAAUCGGAAUUACUGGGCGUAAAGCGUGCGUAGACGGUUAUUUAAGUCAGAUGUGAAAGCCCCGGGCUCAACCUGGGAAUUGCAUUCGAGACUGCAUUGCUGGAGUACGGAAGAGGAAGGCGGAAUUCCCGGUGUAGCGGUGAAAUGCGUAGAUAUCGGGAGGAACAUCAGUGGCGAAGGCGGCCUUCUGGUCCAGUACUGACACUCAAGUGCGAAAGCGUGGGGAGCAAACAGG